GUAUGACUGUAGUUCAGUUGGCAGAAUAUGAGGUUCUUAAUCUCAGGGUUGUGGGUUCAAGCUCCAUGUUAGGCA